rnacentral:tRNA from 229 species
UGGGGCGUAGCCAAGCGGUAAGGCAGCGGAUUUUGAUUCCGCCAUUCGGAGGUUCGAUCCCUCCCGCCCCAGCCA